UACGUAGGGGGCAAGCGUUGUCCGGAUUUAUUGGGCGUAAAGAGCGUGUAGGCGGCCACACAGGUCUGCUGUGAAAACUCGAGGCUCAACCUCGAGCUGUCGGUGGAAACCGUGUGGCUAGAGUCCGGAAGAGGAGAGUGGAAUUCCCGGUGUAGCGGUGAAAUGCGCAGAUAUCGGGAAGAACACCAGUGGCGAAGGCGGCUCACUGGCCCGGUACUGACGCUGAGGCACGAAAGCGUGGGGAGCAAACAGG
rnacentral:rRNA from 1 species